GACGAACGCUGGCGGCGUGCUUAACACAUGCAAGUCGAACGAAGUGGCGAACGGGUGAGUAACGCGUAAUCAACCUGCCCUUCAGAGGGGGACAACAGUUGGAAACGACUGCUAAUACCGCAUACUGAAGGAGGGGAUUGCGUCUGAUUCGCUAGUUGGAGGGGUAACGGCCCACCAAGGCGAUGAUCAGUAGCCGGUCGGAGAUGAUGAACGGCCACAUUGGGACUGAGACACGGCCCAAACUCCUACGGGAGGCAGCAGUUGGGGAUAUUGCACAAGGGGGGUAACCCUGAUGCAGCGACGCCGCGUGAGUGAAGAAGUAUUUCGGUAUGUAAAGCUCUAUCAGCAGGGAAGCAGUACCUGAAUAAGAAGCCCCGGCUAACUACGUGCCAGCAGCCGCGGUAAUUC
rnacentral:rRNA from 1 species